rnacentral:rRNA from 1 species
GGAGUCUGGACCGUGUCUCAGUUCCAAUGUGGCUGUUCGUCCUCUCAGACCAGCUAUAGAUCGUAGGCUUGGUGGGCCUUUACCUCACCAACUACCUAAUCUUCCGCGGGCCAAUCUUUUAGCGAAUUGCUCCUUUCCCCCUCAGGGUUUAUGCGGUAUUAGCAGAAGUUUCCCCCUGUUGUCCCCCACUAAAAGGUAUGUUCCCACGUGUUACUCACCAGUGCGCUACUCUCAUGACAAAUAGCAAGCUAUCCGUCAAUCCCGUUCAACUUGCAUGUGUUAGGCCUGCCGCCAGCGUUCGUUCUGAGCCAGGAUCAACUACU